CGUAGGGGGCAAGCGUUGUCCGGAUUUAUUGGGCGUAAAGCGCGUGUAGGCGGCCAGGUAGGUCUGCUGUGAAAACUCGAGGCUCAACCUCGAGCUGUCGGCGGAAACCAUCUGGCUAGAGUCCGGAAGAGGAGAGUGGAAUUCCUGGUGUAGCGGUGAAAUGCGCAGAUAUCAGGAAGAACACCUAUGGCGAAGGCAGCUCUCUGGGACGGUACUGACGCUGAGACGCGAAAGCGUGGGGAGCGAACAGGAUUAGAUACCCUGGUAGUCCACGCCGUAAACGAUGGGUGCUAGGUGUGGGCGGUGUCGACUCCGUCCGUGCCGAAGCUAACGCAUUAAGCACCCCGCCUGGGGAGUACGGCCGCAAGGCUA
rnacentral:rRNA from 1 species